CCCUACGGGGGGCAGCAGUGGGGGAUAUUGCACAAUGGGGGGAACCCUGAUGCAGCGACGCCGCGUGGGUGAAGAAGCGCCUCGGCGCGUAAAGCCCUGUCAGCAGGGAAGAAAAUGACGGUACCUGAAGAAGAAGCCCCGGCUAACGACGUGCCAGCAGCCGCGGUAAUACGUAGGGGGCAAGCGUUAUCCGGAUUUACUGGGUGUAAAGGGGGCGCAGACGGCGAUGCAAGCCAGGAGUGAAAGCCCGGGGCCCAACCCCGGGACUGCUCUUGGAACUGCGUGGCUGGAGUGCAGGAGGGGCG
rnacentral:rRNA from 1 species